AAAAGUAGUGAAGUCCGGGAUUCGAGCUGUCGAGAAAAGCCGCUAUUGUGUGAUAUGUACCCGUACCGUAAACCGACACAGGUGGAUGAGGAGAGAAUCCUAAGGCCGGCGGGAGAAGCAUUGUUAAGGAACUCGGCAAAAUGACCCUGUAACUUCGGGAUAAAGGGUGCCACAGAGAUGUGGCCGCAGAGAAUAGGCUCAAGCAACUGUUUAGCAAAAACACAGGUCUAUGCGAAACCGAAAGGUGAGGUAUAUGGGCUGACGCCUGCCCGGUGCUGGAAGGUUACGAGGAGAGGUUAGAGCAAUCGAAGCUUUGAAUCUAAGCCCCAGUAAACGGCGGCCGUAACGAUAACGGUCCUAAGGUAGCGAAAUUCCUUGUCGGGUAAGUUCCGACCCGCACGAAAGGCGUAAUGAUUUGAGCGCUGUCUCGACAAUGCACCCGGUGAAAUUGAAAUACCAGUGAAGAUGCUGGUUACCUGCGCCAGGACGGAAAGACCCCAUGGAGCUUUACUCUAGCUUGAUACUGGGAUUCGGUACUGCAUGUACAGGAUAGGUGGGAGACGAAGAGGACAGGACGCCAGUCUUGUCGGAGUCGCUGUUGGGAUACCACCCUUGUGGUACUGGAUUUCUAACCAACCUCCGUGACCCGGAGGUGGGACAAUGUCAGGUGGGGAGUUUGACUGGGGCGGUCGCCUCCGAAAGGGUAUCGGAGGCGCUCAAAGGUUCCCACAGAAUGGUUGGAAACCAUUCAAAGAGUGCAAAGGCAGAAGGGAGCUUGACUGCGAGACCGACGGGUCGAGCAGGUACGAAAGUAGGACUUAGUGAUCCGGUGGUAGAAAGUGGGAUUGCCAUCGCUCAACGGAUAAAAGCUACCCUGGGAUAACAGGCUUAUCACUCCCAAGAGUUCACAUCGACGGAGUGGUUUGGCACCUCGAUGUCGGCUCAUCGCAUCCUGGGGCUGAAGUAGGUCCCAAGGGUUGGGCUGUUCGCCCAUUAAAGCGGUACGCGAGCUGGGUUCAGAACGUCGUGAGACAGUUCGGUCCCUAUCCGGCGCGGGCGUAGGAUAUUUGAGAGGAGCUGCCCUUAGUACGAGAGGACCGGGGUGGACUGGCCUCUGGUGUAUCUGUUGAGCCAUCAGGCUCAUGGCAGAGUAGCCAAGCCGGGACGGGAUAAACGCUGAAGGCAUCUAAGCGUGAAGCCCCCCUCAAGAUGAGAUAUCCCAUACGCAAGUAGUAAGACCCCUUGAAGACGACGAGGUAGAUAGGGCAGAGGUGGAAGCGUAGUAAUACGUGAAGCUGACUGUUACUAAUCGGUCGAGGGCUUAACCGA
rnacentral:rRNA from 1 species